GACGAGGGGUCCUAGCGUUGUUCGGAAUCACUGGGCGUAAAGCGCGUGUAGGUGGGUUGGUAAGUUACUUAUAAAAGCCCCUGGCUAAACUGGGGGAGGUUGAGUGAUACUGCCAGUCUUGAAUAGAGGAGAGGUUGACGGAAUUCCGCGUGUAGUGGUGAAAUGCGUAGAGAUGCGGAAGAACACCAGUGGCGAAGGCGGUCAACUGGCCUCAUAUUGACACUCAGACGCGAAGGCAUGGGUAGCGAACGGG
rnacentral:rRNA from 1 species